UUCAAAGGUUUGGAGCAGAUAACUAACAGAAUCUGAAGUGCAUUUUGAAAGGACCAUCUGACUGCCACGCAAAAUAGGGAGGGCAGUAAGAGGGAAGCACAAAGUCCAGGAAAUGGUUGAGUCCUGGAUACACUGCUAUGGAGAGCCAACAGGAUCUGCUGAUAAAUUGGACAUGAAGUGUGAGAGAAAGAGAGAAUCAUGGCUGACUCAAACGUUUUAGCCUGGGCACCUGGAAGGAUGUAGUUGGGAUCCAGAAGUUGAGACAGGGAAGUUUGGAGGUGAAGAUCAGAAGUUGAGUUUCAGUGAUGCACUUCCGGGCCACCCACCCGGGCUGGGAGGAGCAGUGAUGCUGCGGUGCUCCUUUGUCUGUGCCCUGCUCCCAGGGCUAUGUUGAGAUGCAACUGGGAACCACAAAGAAGUUCAAAGAGAAUCAGGAGAGAAGGCCCCUCUGCAUCAGAGCAAUUAGAAGAAGUGGCUGGCCCCUUGCAGCACCUGAUGGGAUUCUGGUGUACCCCCACCCGUGCUUUUGACAAGGGAAUUCUAUCUUUCUCCUAAAAAGCGAUGUUUACCAAGGGAUUCACACAUAGUGGCCAUUCCAUGCCCCACUGUGCUUGGAUUUUGCUCUCCAACCUUGUUCCAGGGGAGGCCUGGACCAUGUAGGGCAACACCACACAGCUCCUGGGAAAGUGAGAAAUCCAGCUGUCUCCAAGGACCACAUGACUCAGACAGCUGUUUUGCUGGAUCAUUGGACUAAGCAGUGUAGGAGAUAAAUCCAAAUAGAAGCCUAGUGGCUCAGCCCCAGUGUGAUGGCCUCAAGGCAAAGCAUAAAGCUUUUUCCUCUAGCCAAAUAUAGUCAUGUGUCACUUCACAACUGGAGUAUACUCAAAGAAAUGCAUCAUUAAGUGAUUUCAUCAUUGUGUGGACAUCAUAGAGUGUACUUACACAAACCUAGAUAAUAUAGCCUCUUACAUGCCUAAGCUACACAGUAUUAUGUAUUGCUUUUAGGCUGCAAACCUGUACAGUAUGUGACUUUACUGAAUGCUAUAGCCAAUUGUAACACAAUGGUAAGUAUUGGUAUAUCUAAAUAUAUCUAAACAUAGAAAAGGUACAAUAAAAAUAUGGUGUAAAAGAUAAUGAA